GGGGAUGUAGCUCAGUGUGAGAGUUCUUGCCCCGUAAGCAUGGGGCUCUGGGUUCAAUCCCCAGUGUUAUCC
rnacentral:tRNA from 1 species